CCCCCCUUUGUUAUCAUUUAUCUGUGGUACUUUUUGACGUCAGCCAUUUUUUUCUUCUGUAAAAAUUUGAAUCAUCUUCUAGCCCAAAAUUCACAAGAGUUAUCGACCAACCUAGCACUCUGUAUAUGACAAAAUAUUAACAAGUGAGAUGAGUGAAAUUCAAAUUUAUUACAAAAUAUCAAAAUACAUAAUAAAUCAUACCCUAAUUGAACAACUGAAACGUCCUACUCCCAUCAGACCGGGAGAGAAAAAAAAACGAAUCAUAUUGUUCGCUUAGAUAAAGGCAAUCAGUGUGUUACUGCAUGUUGAUGCUUCAUGUAUAGGUAUAAUUUCGUGGUGUAAUUAUAUAUUUACCGAUGUGGAAUCCCAGCAAUAUCAAUUCUAUUCACUUAGAAUAGCUUCAAUCCUGAGAUGUUUUAAAUGAAAAUUGAUAUAGAACUUUAGAAAUAUUGGAUUAAUGCUACUUUUAUAAUGUGCAAGUGAAUGGAAUAAAUGAAUAAAGUUACUCUACUUUCUUUAAAGUUAUUGGAUCUUAUCAAGUUAAAUUUUAUUAUCUAUUUGAUGAAUUUGCUGUAGUUUCCGAAAGAUAGAGUCUGGUGAUGCUGCCUUGGUUAAUGUCAUUUUUCGGUGAGCCAGUACCCUAUGUUAAAGAUGACACUUCAAAGCAGGAAAAUUUGGAUGAUGCAAUGGAACCUUUUGAGUAAAAUAAAGCUCUUUCAAUUAAGCGAUGAGGACACUUUCAUGAGCAUGCAGAUGCAGCAUAAGAAAACGACGCCUUGUCCGCCUCCUAAAAAAAAUAACUUUUGCUCUUUUUUACUGAGGUCCUAUCACCUAUUAAUAAGUUUGUGCACAGAAAGGGCUCCAGUUGCCAGAGGUUUCGACACUAAAGUCAUGGCUGACAAAUUGGUCGAUGAUGCUCAAGAACAAAAAAUAUUUUCACAAUUUUGAUGAAAUGAGUAUCAAAAGAAAUAUAGAUUAUAAUAAAAACCGAUGAAAUUGAGGAUCAUGGUGAAUUUGGCAAAAACAUUAUCCUGCUAGCAGGCUCUGGUUCUAAUGAUAAAAGAAAUAAAUAUAAGCACUAUUUUUCAAUUUCCACAGAAAUCUGUGGAAAUUAAAAAGUGCUUAUAUUUAUUUUUACCAAAUCAAUAUGAAUUUCCAUCAAGUAAGGACUGAUUCCCUCAAAUAAAAGAAAUACAUAUACAGCUCGUGGAAAAUACAGAUUACCUUUUCUGACCGAUAAACAUCUGAAACAAAAUUCUUAUCAAAAGAUUAAUGUGAAAUUAUCAGCUCAUUUAUAGUCAGUGGCGACGCCAGCUUUCAAAAACAUGGGUGACAAAGGGGGGCUGGAUCUUUUUUUUGGGGUGGCCAAAGUGAAGCGAAAUUAUGGUUCAGCUAUGCUAUGAUCUUGUGAUUAUUCUAGCCUUAGUAUUUCAAAUUUUAGAGGGGGCAGCAGUAUUUCAGAGGGGCCCUGGCCCCCCUCGCCCCUAGCGUCGCCACUGAUUACAGACGUUACAGUGUAUAUGCUGACAUAAUGAACCGCCCUAAGGACUGGUGAAUUCAUUUAACCAACAGCUGAAAAUACUGCACGCUUCGUAGAACCAUGAAUAACUUAUUUGAUGCUUUGAAUUGAACAUUGAACACGGUUAUGAAUUAUUUGAAUAUUUGUUUAAAAAUAUAAAAUUAAUGAGACCAUUUAAUUUUCAUGCUUUAAUUUUUUUUAUGAAUGAUAUGAAGCAAAUUGCUUCAAGCAAUUUGCAUUUGAUAUAAAAAAUUGGAGGACUUAUUCAAGAUCCUCUCGGUUGGAGAGGGAGAUCUUACAGAAAUUCCACAGUAAUGUCAUUCAGAAGAGCUUUCAGAAUUAGCAUUGUAACAAAUUUUCUAGGGCUAUAUGCAACUGCCAAUACAUGAACUAGGCUAGAUGACACUGAAAAUAUGUUGGUGGCCAAUGACAACGAACCUCUUUCCGUAUUGAAUCUCGAUGAGAAAUCGUCAUUAUCAGAAUGCGAUUAUUCAAGUAGUGCUUCUGGUACUCCUGUAGUCGAAUUUCGAGAUGAAGUGACAUUCGAAGAUGUUUGGAUAGUUUCGGGUGUGAAGAUUCUAAGAGCAGUUUGGAAGCUCCUAAAAAUAUUGAAAAUGAAGAAAAUGGCAUUUUUCAAAAAUUAUGACUGAUUAUGAAAACGGAUUGAAAAGACCUACAUCUUUGUUGAGGAAAUUCAUUACAAUAGAUUUAGAUUUUUUCAGCCAAAACAUGGGGAGAAGUUGUAAUGAUAAUAUUAUUAUUAUUAUUAUUAUUUGAACUGGGGUCGUUUUGCUUCGGUGAGCCUUUCGGGAACUGCGACCAUGCAGAUCUUUUGUUCACUACCCUACUCAUUCAUAGAAACCUAGGGAGGUCGUCAACGACGUUAAUAAAAUUGACAACCUCCCUAGGGGCCUUGGCCAUUACCUCUCUGGUAUCCAGGACCGGCUAAUGAUAAUAUUAUGUAUAAUUUAAAAAAAAAACAAGUGUUGAAUGUAUUCAAAAGUUCUUUCCCGGAAGGUUCGAAACGAAUUUCAUUUGCUAGUUUAUUAAAAUCUGUGAAAUUGCUUAAACAUUACUAGCUUGCUCAAAACUCGGCAAUCAACAAAAAAUGUAAAGCUGUCAAUUAAUUGUUCAGCAUAAUUGAAUAUCCAAAAUGCCAAUUAAAAACUUUCGAAACAGUCAUAAUUGAAAGUGAGUGAGUGAAGUCCUUAAACUUCACAAAAUUUUCACCCUUGAGAAAUCUAUGACAGUCUUUCGAAACAGACACAAUAUUGUUCGAACAGAAGCAAUUUCUAGCAGGGAAUAAAAUGCAGUUUUUUAUAUUUUGCGAGAAAUUUGUUUUGUUCGAGCAAUUAGACUGCAGGACUAUUAUACAGGGUGUUUCCUAAACAUGCGGCAAAAAUUCAGGGGGUUGUUCCUUGGACUAUUUUAAGCAUGUUUUGUCCUUGGAUGAUUUUUGAAAAACCUCUUUGUUUCGAAGA